AAUAUACUCCCUCUGUCCAGAAAUAAUUUUCAUCUAAAUGAAUAAAAGAGAAUAUAUCUAGACGUAUUUUAGUUCUAGAUACAUCUCUUUUUAUCCAUUUUGAUGACAAGUAUUUCCGGACAGAGGGAGUAAUUA
rfam:Triticum aestivum genome assembly, contig: Triticum_aestivum_CS42_TGACv1_scaffold_500005_6BL